ensembl:snRNA U4 U4 spliceosomal RNA
AGCUUUGCGCAGUGGCAGUAUCAUAGCCAAUGAGGUUUAUCCAAGGCGCAAUUAUUGCUAAUUGAAAACUUUAAAAAUCAUCUCC